GAGGAAGGACGGCGAAAGUGUUGUUUGCGAUUUAAAAGGCAGUGCGUGUGUACAGUGCCUUGUGUGUGUGUGUGUGUGUGUGUAGUGAUGUGGAGUGCGUGGGUGUGUGGAGUGGUGUUGUGUGCGGCGCGCGUGAGGGACGUACUGGAGCUGUGGACGGGAGAACAGGACAGCUGGAAAAUGACUGGAGAAGGUACGGUCGCCAUACCAUCCAGCACCUCUUCCACCCACUCCCCGAGAGACGCGUAAGUCAUCGUGGAGUUCUUUCCGAGGCGCCGCGCUGCUUCCUUGGGCUGCAGGCGGCACAGCGUCACGCCGCCACGCGCAGGAAUCCUUCUGAUGUGCAGGCUUUGAUCUCCCUCACUGCAGGCCAACGCUGAGCCCUCACCCUCCCUUCUUUGCUUGCCUCAUGACUUCGCGGUGACGUCAAGCUGCAAAACCUCGAAAUUGAAAUGCUAUUGUGGGAUUUCUUUUUUUUCGGCAGUGAAUGGUUAAAAGUGAUUGUGGUUUGAAAGUGGAUAUAUGUGACUGAAUUGAUACUUAUAAGGCGUAGUCUGCUUUCAUUUUAGAUUUUAUUUUUUUUUCCUUUGUGAAUGUUCAGUGGUUUGUCUUGAUGAUUUGAAAGUGUUUAUCAUUAUCUGGAGUAGCGAUUUUUAAAACAUUUCAGUUUUGGAGUUUUCUUUUGUUGUUAAUGUUUAUGAUUUUUUUUUUUUCAUCAUCAGUUACGUACUUGUUUUCAUGCGUGCGUAAAUGUGUUCACGUAACGAAACAAGUAAUAAUUAUUGUUUUUAAGAGUGACUGACAACCGGUUCAAAUUUACACGACCUUUUUAUUUUCAAGUGUAUUCUCGAAAACUAGGAAAUGUCGACAUGAAUUAAUGACUGAAGUAAUUCUGAGGCAAAGAGCGUCAGGCUGGUGCUUGACACCUUCCGCCACGGCACUGCCUGCGUCACGCGCCGAGCAUAAAUAAAACUGAGUCACCACGCGUGUUAUUUUCAUCAGACGAAACCACCUGAAAAUGUGUCCCAUCGUUGAAAUAUAAUGACACUCCAAUAAUUAAUUCCA